UAAUUGAAGAGUUUGAUCAUGGCUCAGAUUGAACGCUGGCGGCAGGCCUAACACAUGCAAGUCGAGCGGUAGCACGGGAGAGCUUGCUCUCUGGGUGACGAGCGGCGGACGGGUGAGUAAUGUCUGGGAAACUGCCUGAUGGAGGGGGAUAACUACUGGAAACGGUAGCUAAUACCGCAUGAUGUCGCAAGACCAAAGUGGGGGACCUUCGGGCCUCACGCCAUCGGAUGUGCCCAGAUGGGAUUAGCUAGUAGGUGGGGUAAUGGCUCACCUAGGCGACGAUCCCUAGCUGGUCUGAGAGGAUGACCAGCCACACUGGAACUGAGACACGGUCCAGACUCCUACGGGAGGCAGCAGUGGGGAAUAUUGCACAAUGGGCGCAAGCCUGAUGCAGCCAUGCCGCGUGUGUGAAGAAGGCCUUAGGGUUGUAAAGCACUUUCAGCGAGGAGGAAGGCGUUGUAGUUAAUAACUGCAGCGAUUGACGUUACUCGCAGAAGAAGCACCGGCUAACUCCGUGCCAGCAGCCGCGGUAAUACGGAGGGUGCAAGCGUUAAUCGGAAUUACUGGGCG
rnacentral:rRNA from 1 species